rnacentral:rRNA from 1 species
GAUGAACGCUGGCGGCGUGCUUAACACAUGCAAGUCGAGCGAAGCGAUUUUAAGGAAGCCUUCGGGUGGAAUUAAAAUUGACUUAGCGGCGGACGGGUGAGUAACGCGUGGGUAACCUGCCUCAUACAGGGGGAUAACAGUUAGAAAUGACUGCUAAUACCGCAUAAGCGCACAGUGCUGCAUAGCACAGUGUGAAAAACUCCGGUGGUAUGAGAUGGACCCGCGUCUGAUUAGGUAGUUGGCGAGGUAACGGCCCACCAAGCCGACGAUCAGUAGCCGACCUGAGAGGGUGACCGGCCACAUUGGGACUGAGACACGGCCCAAACUCCUACGGGAGGCAGCAGUGGGGAAUAUUGGACAAUGGGGGAAACCCUGAUCCAGCGACGCCGCGUGACUGAAGAAGUAUUUCGGUAUGUAAAGGUCUAUCAGCAGGGAAGAAAAUGACGGUACCUGACUAAGAAGCCCCGGCUAACUACGUGCCAGCCGCCGCUGUAA